AGGGAUAUAGCUCAGUUGGUAGAGUGCUUGCGUACUUGCCUCACAUGCAUAAGGCCUUGGGUUCAAUCCCCAGUAUGAUAA
rnacentral:tRNA from 1 species